CUCCCCAAAGAUGCCCGGGGACUCGGGCCUAUAUCAUCCCAUUGAUCUUAGUCCACUCGUAGAUGUCCUGUUCGCACACUAUGUCAGAGUUGAUGAGGAGGUAUCUGUCACCUACACAGAAAUGCUUCUGACAGGCGGCGCAUUUGAAACAUUCCAGGUGAUACACUUUGUCUUUCACCCGCAUUGUCAUCUCAUAGGCACGAAUCCGCUUGUCACAGGAUGCGCAGAGACCGUCUUGCCCAAAAAGCCUGAGAUAGUCUCUCCGGCAGAGCUUCCGGCCCAGUUUGUAGUAGAGGCGCCGCCCCACCUCACCCAGCCGGCAGCCACAGAGGUCGCAGCUCAGGCAGUCCUCGUGCCAGUACUGGUCGAUGGCCUUCAGGAAGUAGCGGUCCCCAAUGUUCUGCUGGCAGCCGCCGCAUGUCAGCAGGGAUGGGGGGAUCUGCAGCACCUCAUCCACUGGUUCCUCUGAAGGGUCCAGGCUCUUCCUUUCGAUGGCCGAGGACAUUGGGGAGGGAGGCGGGGUGCCGGGCGGCGGGGGCGCUCCCUUUGUGGCGCGGGGCUGGCCGGCUGCCGGGGCUCGGACCCCCUCGGGUGCUCGGGCGCCGCCGCCGCCGCCGCCGUCGCCGCCGCUCCUGCGCCUCCGCUUGCUCCGGCGCUCCGCCGGCGAGCUCGCCCCUCCGCGCUCAAGGACAGUCACCGCGCUCCCUUCGGCCCGGGUCGCGGCGCGCUGCUCGCCGCCGAGGGCAGAGAGGGGGCGGCGGCCUAGGGGCGGGGAGGGGACCGUGCGUCUCUCUCCGGGCUUCCUCCUCUCUCGGGAAGGUCUAUUUUCGCUCAGCUUCCCUCUGUCUCUGGUUUCAUUUCCUUUUUCCUGAUCACGAUUCAAAU
rnacentral:lncRNA from 1 species